CUAGGAAUUGGGACACUUGUGCAUACACUGAAUUUUUAAAAAGGAACACAGAAGCUAUUAUGGAGCUUGGAAUUUCAAAUUAAUAAGGUUAUAGCCUUAUCUGUUUGGGAGAUUCAAUGAGGACUUCAAUUGUCGUGAUAAUAUUACCUUAUCCAAUCACACAUUGAUGUUCUUGAUCGCAACUCUUAUUGCUCACUAUUUAUGUGGCUUUACUAGAACAUAUUCACAGAUACUCGUGAAAAACAUACAAAGAUAUGCUUGGUAGUCAUUACAUCAUUGGAAAAUGACAAGUUUUAAGAUCCAUCUUAGUGUUUCCUGAUUAUAUGAGCACCUUUUGGGCCCCAUUUCAGAAGCCAUUAGCAAUGCUUGCAAGCUAUACUAUCUUUUGCCAGAUAACGAGGCAUAACUUUUAAGCUGUGUUUUUAUGGACCAUAAUUUUCAUGUUUUGGCAAAACUGAUAUUACUUAUUAGGUCUAGAAACUCAUUCAAAAGGUAAAUCCUCAUUAUAGUACUUGAUGAUUAGUCCUGAAGUUUGCACUUAAACAGGCAACUGAUGCUCACGUUGAUGUGGAAUUUUUCAACUUGCAGUAUUUCAAUUACAUUGUCCCUAGUUUUGUUAAUAAAUUGAAAUUGUAGCCUAGGUUGUCAGCCUCAAGCUCUUUGUAUAAACUGAUAAACAAGGACGGUACAUGAUCCACUGACCUUAUCCAGGUUCUUAUGUUGGGGUUGUUUCCAUGUGAAAUCUGUUGACGUGCAGCUCAGUAAAAAAUUGGAAAACUCCCCUGGUGAAGAAGUGGAGUACAGAGGUCAUCACAAAGCUGUAAUUGGUGUUUUCAUCAUUCAUCAAAGACCUUUUGCCCUCCGAGAAUGUUUUUUGUGUGUAAUUUCCUGUAUUCUGGAGCUCUACUAGACUAUGGACUGACACCAUUUGAAAGAAACUGGUGAAGCCGCAGUUCGAAAAGAGGUUGCAAGCGAGAUACAGUAUUUGUAAUUUGAGAGAAACUUUUGAGAAUACAAUGAGAGACAAAGAUGAUUUUAUUGGUAUGUUCAGAUGGGAUUGGUUAUGUAAAUGGUUUGAGAGUGUAUGCCAGUAGUCAUACAAGUUGGUUCUUGAUUAAAGUAUUUUGGGCAAUGAAUGUUGUAUCCAACAAUUCAAUCCUUC